rnacentral:misc_RNA from 1 species
CAGAGUUGCAAAACUCCCAAACCAUUGUGAACGUUACCUUUACCGUUGCUUCGGCGGGCGCCCGCGAGGGCCGAGGGGCGCCCGCCGGAGGUAAACCAAACCAUUGCAUUGUAUGGCCUCUCUGAGUCUUCUGUACUGAAUAAGUCA